CAAACUGGAGAUGGCGACCGGCGCACGGGUGAGUAACACGUAUCCAACCUGCCGAUAACUCGGGGAUAGCCUUUCGAAAGAAAGAUUAAUACCCGAUGGUAUAAUCAGACCGCAUGGUUUGAUUAUUAAAGAAUUUCGGUUAUCGAUGGGGAUGCGUUCCAUUAGGCAGUUGGCGGGGUAACGGCCCACCAAACCGACGAUGGAUAGGGGUUCUGAGAGGAAGGUCCCCCACAUUGGUACUGAGACACGGACCAA
rnacentral:rRNA from 1 species